CCUCGAUUUGGUCCACUUCUGGACGGCUGGGUGUGCCUUUCCCAUGUCCCCGAGGGAUUUGCCAGUCCCCUCUGCCCGCGCCCCACGCUCGACCUCGAGAACAAGCAAAAAGGUCAAACCCUAGCCGCCAAACCUUCUCGUCCCGAGCCCCGCGCCCCCUUCGCCUCGUCUCCUCCCCGCUCCAUCCUCUCCCAUGCCGCCGCACCCUCUCCUCACACGCCUCAGCGCCCUCCCCUCCUCCCCGUGCCGCCGGCCCCCUUCCUUCUCCCCGCGCUAGAGCAGAGAUGCGCCUCAGUAGGGCAGCAGUAG
rnacentral:rRNA from 1 species